rnacentral:misc_RNA from 1 species
AAAAUGCGAUAAGUAAUGUGAAUUGCAGAAUUCAGUGAAUCAUCGAAUCUUUGAACGCACAUUGCGCCCGCCAGUAUUCUGGCGGGCAUGCCUGUUCGAGCGUCAUUUCAACCAUCAAGCCCCCGGGCUUGUGUUGGGGACCUGCGGCUGCCGCAGGCCCCGAAAACCAGUGGCGGGCUCGCUGUCACACCGGGCGUAGUAGAUUUUUCGUCUCGCCCAGGGCGUGCUGCGGGUUCCGGCCGUUAAAAAGCCUCUCUUUUAACCCAAGGUUGACCUCGGAUCAGGUAGGAAGACCCGCUGAACUUAAGC